rnacentral:rRNA from 1 species
AAUCGCUUGCGGCGGUGUGCCUACUACUUGCAUGUCGAGCGGACAGAAGGGAGCUUGCUCCCGGAUGUUAGCGGCGGACGGGUGAGUAACACGUGGGUAACCUGCCUGUAAGACUGGGAUAACUCCGGGAAACCGGAGCUAAUACCGGAUAGUUCCUUGAACCGCAUGGUUCAAGGAUGAAAGACGGUUUCGGCUGUCACUUACAGAUGGACCCGCGGCGCAUUAGCUAGUUGGUGAGGUAACGGCUCACCAAGGCGACGAUGCGUAGCCGACCUGAGAGGGUGAUCGGCCACACUGGGACUGAGACACGGCCCAGACUCCUACGGGAGGCAGCAGUAGGGAAUCUUCCGCAAUGGACGAAAGUCUGACGGAGCAACGCCGCGUGAGUGAUGAAGGUUUUCGGAUCGUAAAGCUCUGUUGUUAGGGAAGAACAAGUGCAAGAGUAACUGCUUGCACCUUGACGGUACCUAACCAGAAAGCCACGGCUAACUACGUGCCAGCAGCCGCGGUAAUACGUAGGUGGCAAGCGUUGUCCGGAAUUAUUGGGCGUAAAGGGCUCGCAGGCGGUUUCUUAAGUCUGAUGUGAAAGCCCCCGGCUCAACCGGGGAGGGUCAUUGGAAACUGGGAAACUUGAGUGCAGAAGAGGAGAGUGGAAUUCCACGUGUAGCGGUGAAAUGCGUAGAGAUGUGGAGG